rnacentral:rRNA from 1 species
CCUACGGGUGGCAGCAGUGGGGAAUAUUGCACAAUGGGGGAAACCCUGAUGCAGCGACGCCGCGUGAGCGAAGAAGUAUUUCGGUAUGUAAAGCUCUAUCAGCAGGGAAGAAAAUGACGGUACCUGAGUAAGAAGCUCCGGCUAAAUACGUGCCAGCAGCCGCGGUAAUACGGAGGAUGCGAGCGUUAUCCGGAUUUAUUGGGUUUAAAGGGUGCGCAGGCGGAUUGUUAAGUCAGCGGUAAAAUCGUUGGGCUCAACCCCAUCCAGCCGUUGAAACUGGGUUUCUAGAAUGUAAGAGAGGUAUGCGGAAUGCGUGGUGUAGCGGUGAAAGGCAUAGAUAUCACGCGGAACCCCGAUUGCGAAGGCAGCAUACCGGUGCACAACUGACGCUCAGGCACGAAAGCGUGGGUAUCGAACAGGAUUAGAUACCCGUGUAGUC